rnacentral:ncRNA from 1 species
AUCAGUAAAAGGCAAACCCAUCGAAAGCUGGGGACGCAAAGUCACAGGUCUUCCAUGACAGGGUGAUGACGGCUGGACUGCCUGC